rnacentral:lncRNA from 1 species
ACACCGGCUACAACUAAAAUAUGAAAUAAAGAAUAAAAACAAAAAACAAAAAAAACAAAAGUCCACCCAAAUCCGAACUGUUGUGCUCAAGAAGCUUCUAGGCCACCCAUCCCAACUUUAGUCGGUUAUAGUUCUUGCCUUUUCUGAUCUCUCAUCUUCUCCAUCGUCUCCAUCCGAUUUGAAACCAAUUCUCUAAAAGCAGCUCAGUUCAGCGAUCUUAUCCAUCUCCGGUCAUUUUCCAGUGAAACCGCGACAUAUUCGAGCACUCCUCUUCUCAGGUAAAUAUGUUCCCCUCUCUUUAAUCCUUCUGUAGCUACUGCAUGUGCCACCAUGUUUGCCAUUCUCGGGGUGUGUUUAAACCAGCAUAUCUGAAAACCCUUUUCAACUGUUAUAUACCCUUUAUGGAUUCACAUAUUUCUGAUUUGUCCACCCCAUUACUUUGACUCUUAUUGAUUACUGAAAAUGAAUCACCUUCAACCUCCACCGUUGAUAGAUAUAUUUCCAAACCCAUUUGAACCACCUGAGCCCAUGCGAGAGCUUCCGCCGCAAACGCGGAUGGUACGUUCCUGUUUAGCACCGUUUUAGAUCCUAGAACCCCUCCAUUUGAAUCCCUUAUCAUAAUCCUUGAACAAGAUGUGUUUUCUUGUUUGUUAAAGGCAACAUCGAAAUUAAUUUUGAGAUUUGACACCUCUAGUAAUCUCCAUCGCUCAAUCUCCUGUCCUCUGCUAGGUAACUUUUCCCUAUCCUAUCCAGUUCUCGUAUAUAGCUCGUAAUGAAAUAUGCUAUUAUUCAUCAUUGUGUUCGUUUUCCUUCAUGCAGCAACUUAUUUCUUUCUGUCCAAAUUACCAACAACGUACAGCAAAAGAGGCGACAUUGAUUAGAUGAAUUGUUUUAAAAAAUCUAGGUUAGCUACUCUAUGCACUUUGAAUUUGUUACCAAUGGUGGCCAAGCAAAAUCCAAUUUCUGCCGAAUUUCCUUUGUUACAGCGCAAUCACGAAAUACAUACUUUGUAUUCUCCACUUCACCUGGCACAUUAUGGUUCCAAGUAAUCUCUUAUAAUGUAGGCUAUUCAGAGUAGGCAGAAAAUUCAUGGAAAUUCUCCAGAUUGUAAUUUUUAGUUUAGGGACGAGAUCUAAAUUCCAAUUUUUUUUAUCACACCCGAUUUUCUUUAAGCCCAAAAAUUAGGAAUAAUUGGGGGUUAAAUUGAAAGAAGCUGUAAUUUGGCAGCCUUUACUAAAACAAUAGUGACUGAUUUAGACAUGGUUGAGGUCCAAUUCUAGUUCGGUUGGAUUAAAGCCAACUAAUUCCUUAGUGGGAGACGAAAUAAUUAUUAAUGGAGGGUUUUUAUACGAUUGAAGACCAUGCGUGAAUGGCUAAAAAUAGCUAAAAAAUGAUUUCCUAGGGUUAACUCUUCUCAAAUUUGCUUAUUUUUUUUUCUUCUUCAUCUUCUUCUUGGGUUUUUCCCAAAGAAGAGGUAGUUAUAGGAAGUUCUGCAUGGAGCGGUGAUCAUAAGGUUUGGGUUGAAAGUUAGAGAAUCUAGUAAGCUAGUAAGGUUCAUAGUCCUUUGGUAUACAUAGGAUUUAGAAAAUGAAGUUAAGGAUUUUCAGAAAACUUUUGAGGGGUUUUGUAUGUUUCUGAAAAACUGAGUUUUAAGUUAAAAAUACUAAGUUUAACUCAUGAGUUUGGCCAUAAUGCUUAGUUUCCAAGAGAAUGGAAGAUCUAGCAUUCAAAAAAGCUAAGCAUAGGAAGCAAAGAAACAUCAGGUGAGUUUCUAUACUCCAUUUCUGGGAUGUUGUAUAACUAGCCUUAACUGUUGUUGAGUUCUGUGACAAUGUAUUAUCACUAUUGUUUGAGAAUGCUUUGUAUGCAUAAAGUUAGGUAGGUAUAUAAGUAUGCAUAAAUAAGUUGGCAUACGUGAAAUGGUAUGAUUCCAUGUUUUAAAAGGAUAGCAUACUCCAUGAUAGUAUGUAAAUGAAAUGCAUGUAUUGCAUGUUUAAAACAGUGGGGUACAGAGGGGAGAUUAUUCACGGGUUAUAUGAAGCUACGAUUUGGCAAAUGGUGUUUCUUUAUUUCGCCAUCUGGUGUUGCCAAGUGCAAACAACGUGCGAAGCUCCAAGCCUUGCGAAGAGGACACUGCCGUGUUCGAGCAUCAAUGUUGGAAAGGAAGAAAUGGAGGCAUGGGCGGAUACUUAAGGAAAUGAAAUUUUUAUUAGAUUUUGCAAUCCGAUAUUGUUGAGAGAAAAUCGUGAUGUGUGAAGCUUGAGGCCUUGUAGAAGGGACACUUCGGUGUUCGAACAUUAAGGUUAAAAAUGAAAUGAUAUUGACUAGCUCGUUAAAGCGGUGCCAUGAAGAAAAUUAUUAGGUUUCACAGAACAUCGCAAUGACGAUUAGCAGGCUUUAUGCGGUGACAUUGCGACGACAGUAAGUUCCUUCUAGGAAACACCUCAAAGAAGUUUAAAGUGUAAGACCAUGGCUUGGCUAUGGUGACCAAUGGAGCCCGCCAAGAAAUUAAACAUGGGGUAUGUUGUGUAAGACCAUAGCUUGACUUUAGAAGCAUAGAGAGUUUGCCGAGAUUAAAUAUGGGGCAGUCCAUCAGGACAUUAAACAUAGGACCUAAUGAGUAAAACUAUAGCUUAGCUACGGCAACAUAUAGAGUUCGUCGGGACAUUAAACGCAAGGUAGUCUGCCAAGAUGAUGAUCUUGUAAAAUCACGUAAACGAGAAAAAAAUACAAGUGUUGAUAAGCGAUAGUUAGCCAACGGAACUGAGGAAUCUGCCAAGAAGGGUUAAAUGUAACAAAAAUGGGCAAAGUUUACCAAAGAUAUGUACAGGAAAGCUGGUAGGGUGUAGGUUGGUAACCCAACUAAAAUCAGUUAUGUAGAUGACGUGUCAAUAAAUAGGGGCUAAUUAGAACCCAUUGUCAAAUAUUUAGGCAAAUGACGUGUCAAUAAUGCCUAAUAUAUAGGCAAAUGAAAGAGGAUUUUAUCUGCGAACCAUAUUUAGAACCCCUAGAAGGGGCCCAAUGGAACUCUGUAUGUUAGGAGUUUGAUUAUAAGUACUAUGGAUAGUUUAUCGGUAAAUAGGGGCUAAUUCGAACCUAUUGUCAGGAAGAGGUACCAAAAAGGUUAAUCCAAGUGAAAGAUAUAUUUGUCAAGACUAUUCUUCUUUGAGGGAAAUUCUAGUGUGACAGUAUCCACUAUGGUGCUAGUUCCAUAAGAAAGCAUUGUAUAAGGAAGAAUAUGAACUCGAAUGGUCAAUAGUUUACUAGAAACGAUAUGCUGAAAUGAUCCAAUGUAGAUAGAUUUGAUGCGCUUUAAAAGUAAGGUGUCCCAAUUAGGGUUGUUUACAAGUAGGUAACCCAAACAACAUUUCAACCCAAGUGUAGGAUAGAAGUAGGAAAGGAUGAAAUACGAUUAAGUUCGUUAGUGUGGCGUGGGCCUUUUCUAGUUGGUCUUAUAAGUAGAAUGUCAGCUUACCCGCUAGUACUAUGGUGUUUUUACUAGUCAUGAUAAAACCAAAGAGGAUAUUCAUGAUAGGAAGUGUGAGGAAAAAGGGGAAUAGAAGGUGAUAUGUGCAAGGAAAAGUGAAAACCUGCAAGGAUGAUAAUUCAUCUGGAUUCCACCAAAUUAGUUGAAUGGUCAUACUAUGACUAGGAAAUGGUUGCUCAACAAUCAAUUCGCCAUCAAAGAAAGAUGAAAGUCAAAUAUGUGUCCGACACUUCAGAUAAAGUAGGAAAGUCUAAACAAAAUAGGGAGUAGUGUGUUUGGGUCUUUUCUAUUUAAAACAUCAGCAUGAUGAGACUUAGUUAUAUAUAUGUGCAAAGAAACUCGCUAAGUCAUUUGCACUUAUAGAAUAUAUGGCUUAUGUUGCAGGAUUCGAGGGAUAAGAAACUCGAAGGGGGAUUAAGCCAGACCUUGUUGGAGCAAGUAACACCGUUAGUUAGGAGUCAUGAACAUAAUGGAGGUACCUUUAGAGGUUUCGCCUCGAGGUCAAGUAUAUUGUAAAUAAAUAGUUUUCUUAGAGUUUGAAAUUGGAGAUAGUUUUUAUUUUAAUUUAAGGCUUCUGUUGUAAAAAAUAUUUAUUGCUACUUAAUAGAGUCUAUUUUUAAAACUAUUAAAUUUAAAAUUUGUUUUUAGUCUAAUUCGGUCCAUUUGUGGCACCCCGUACUCAGAUUCGAUGAUCGGGUCGAGUGAGAAUGUUACAAAUUUAAUGGUAUCAGAACAUGGUUUAGUCGGUUCCUAGAUAUAGGAAUUGAAAAAGUACCCUUUAUGUUCAUUAUGUUCAAUUUGGCUAGGUCAUCGAGUUCUUACUUUUAUUAAGUUAUUAUAUGUUGUAUGUAGAAGUAUGCGCCUAAAUUGACGAAUCGAAACAAAUGUAGAAGCAAAGGAUAAGUAAAGUGAUUGAAAAUACAAGUGAUGAAGAAAAGAAAUUUCAUUAAAGAAAAUAUGCAAAGGAAAUUAAGAAUUUUUAUUUGCUAGGUAUGUUGUCACCUCAACAGUGUCUUUACUUCCUUUUGGCUAAGUCUUUCGAAAAGAGUAGAAAUGAUCACGCUUGAUUUUUGAAAAUGAGAGUUGUUAGAUUCCUUCUGUCCCCUCUGGCAAUCCUCUCAUUGGAACUAGAGGAGUGGGAGUGUUGAAUUCAAGGACAAAACAGGCAUGUUUGCAUAUAUAAGUGGAGUUGUGAGAUUUGCAUCAGGAAGACACUUGUGUCAGGUUUGAAUGGGGAUUAAACGAGAAAGAUGAGGAGGAAGAUACACUUGGAUGCCGGACUUGGUAUACUCAGUAUACUCCAUAAGGAUUUAGAAUAACCCAUUUUGCAACCUCACCAUUUCAUCAAGAUGAAGCUUUCAAAGGCUAGUACCAUUUUCUAACCCUUUUUUAUAACCUUUAAAGGUUGAAUUUAGACCUUCAUGUGGAGAGAGAUGUAAACAUGUAACUUUGGUAGAUGAAUUUCUAUGAAUCUAAGGAGCUGUAUUACAACAUUGUUUGCUAGAAUAGGUGAUCCUCUUGAAAUCAACCUAUUUGGCUUCACUUCCAGUUUAAAAGGAGGUCAAUGAUUUUCCUCACCCUGUUAAUAAUUGAAAGGAAUCACCAAGUUGUUAAAGAAGGGUGGCAAACUCUUGACAAGGAAAAGAAAGGGAAGUGAAUGGUACUGUCGUGGUCUCCUAAUGAUGUUACAGUAGGAGUCGUUAUGAGAAGAAUCCAAGAAAGGAAUAGGGAUUUCGUGAAAAAAGACUUCCAUUUCUUGAGGCAAAUUCAUGCCAUGUCCUUGCUUAAUCAUAGGCAAAAGAGAUACAUAUUUUCCUGCGUUAAGCCAUCCUCUCCAAGAUAAGAAAAGGCUCAUCGCAUCCAAGGGAAAGGUACUGUAAGAGAUGAGAGGGUUAGUAGUAAAGAGAGAUGCACAAAAAGGGGUUCUGAGGUAGUCAUUUGCAUUGCCUAGUCGAUACUCCUCUCGAACUAGCCCGAAAGAAAAAUUAAGGUAGGGUAACUUGAUUCCUUGAAUGGUUAGGUGAUUUACCAUAUCGUGUUUGGUGAAAAUGCUCAUGUAAUUUAAAGGUCCUCACCCUUCUUAUGUUGUUUAUUUAAUUUUACUCAGCGAAUAUGAAGACAGGGAUAGAGAAAGUUCAUUAUCAAAAUUUCGGUGACAAGAAUACUAGAGAACAACACCCAAUAUUGUAAUUAGAUGAGAAAAAGAAAGAUAGGAAGAAGAAAAGUGGGAUAAUAAGUGGGUAGGCCAAGCCAAAUGUCUAUAGACUUAUGAACUUCCCUCUCAAUGUUCUGGUUUAUUUGUAACCAAAAGCGUGUAUUAAAAGUUAUGGAAAAUUUAAUGAAUGGUAAGGAACCGUUCAAGUCCAUCAAUGCAUGCAGGACACCUAUUGGCAUCAGGAGAAGGAAGAAUCUUUUAGUAUUCCCAGGGCGGGGAUAGUUGCCAACUGUUACCCAUUAGGGUGUAGCCUUCAGAAAAGUAGAGAUAGUCUUAGGUUCGUUCAAUGACAGCCCUUUUCGAAUAGAGAGGAUAAGCUUUUGUUACUUUUUGAUUAGAACUUUGAAAGUAGAGUGGUAGCUUUGGUACACGACCAAGGUAGUAGAGAAAGUAUAUCUUGGACAAGCUUAGUUACCCUAUGAUUAGAAGGAAUUAACCCAUUAACUGGUAAGGUUAGCAUACAAAAAGAUUUAGGAAUUUUGGAUUUCCCACUAGAAUUAAAAUCAAAGAGAUGUUAGCCAGGAGAUGUUCACCUUAGAGCGUCCACCAAAUUAAGAUUUGCAAAAAUAAUUUCUGGAUUGGAGUGUAUCUAGUAAUGGAAAGAUUAGAUACCUGACAAUGAGUUGAUAUCCAUAUUUCGUAAAGUGUUGAAGGAUCCACAAAAUAGGCAGAGCAAGUGUAAAGCGAAUGUAUGAAAGGGUAACCAAGUUGAAGGUUUUUAUAGAAAUGAAAAGUGAUUACUUUUGUGAACCAUAUAAGAGUAGAAAUGGGGAAAUAGUUUCUCUGAGUCCGCUUCUGAGGCUGAUCGGGAAAGGAAUUUGCAAGGAUAAAUUUCUUUUAGGGUGGGAGAGUUGUCUAACCCAAUUUUCUUUAAAUCUGGUGAUAAUUGAAAAACUUAUAUAAUUUAAUUACAUAUUUAUUUUGAGUACAAUCCUACUAAUUUAGAUUGUUUAUGGUUUUUUAUCUUGUAGGGACUAAAUUAAGGCAAAAGGAAAUUUAAGGGCAAAAAGUGUGAAUUUAAAGACAAAAUAGGUCAGCAUGCAAAAUAGGGAAGAAGUGGUGCAGUGAAUACAAAGUGUGGAAGACUUGGGGAAAAUUUUCAAAGAAAAGAUUUAUGGACAUAAAAAUUUGUUUAAAUUUGAAUUUGAAUUUUAAGAUUAUUGUUAGGAUUAUUAUUAUAUUCUUCAGAUUUAAUUUCAAUUUAUCUCUUAAACAUUGUCAUCUAAAGUUUGAAUAGGAACCAACUAAGGUCUUUCAUGUACUAUAAAUAGGGGAUGAAGUGACAUAAAUACUCACUCAUCACUUUUGUAAAAAAACUCCUUCCCCUUAAGACUCUUAGCCUUUUGUUUCUUUUCUUUUUCAAUAAAAUUUCGUUUCAUCAAACUUGUGUUUUUAUUCCCAAAAAUAAUGAGUAACUAAAUUAGUCUAGCCAAAGGUUAUCAAGAUUCUUCAAAAAGAGUGCAUUACGCUUAGAACUCGUACUUAACCCUUCUCAACGAGUAUUCAUCAUUUUUUCGCAUUACGAGACUGACGCUGUCGUCCAUGUCUUUUCAAAAGUAAUCUUUUCAUCUUGUGCAAAGGUGGUCUUUUUGCAUGUUUUGGGAAGGUUGCACAAUCGAUUUGCACAAACAUCUAAAAGAGUUUUAUAUGGUUUGUCUUAACAUGAAACCUUAGGGUGUAACUGAGGAUCAAAUCAAAUUAUGUGCUUUCCGUUUUCCCUAGUAGACUCUGCUAGGGAAUUGUUAUUUUAUCUACCUCUUGGAUCUAGCACAACCUGGGUUGAUCUUUCCCGUUUGUUUCUCAACAGAUUUUUCCCAUCAUCGUGCGUACCUGAGCUAAGGAGGGAGAUUGUUGGGAUAAGGUAAAAGGAUGUGGAGUCUCUUUACGAUUAUUGGGAAUAAUUUAAGAAUUUGUGUGCAAGUUGCCCACAACAUGAGAUAAUAGAAUAGUCUCUUCUCCAAUACUUCUAUGAGGGCUUGAAGCCCAUGGAAAUGAAUAUGAUAGAUGCCUCCAGUGGAGGGGCACUAGUCAACAUAACCCCCUAACAGGUAAGGGACUUGAUAUCCAUGAUGGCUGCAAAUACUCAGCAAUUUCGAGACAAUUCUAAACCUACUAGAAGGGUUCACCAAUUAAGCAAUUCAACUUUAGAAGAUAAAUUUGAUACACUUACUAAUAUCAUGAACUCAUUUUUACAGUAAAAGCAAGACCAACCCGACUAUGCGAAAUUUGUGUAACACUCGAACAUACAACUAAUGCAUGUCCUAGUUUGUAUGACGAUAAUAUGGCCUAUUUGGAUGCUGUGGAGAACUUUCCUAGACCACCUUAAAGGCGAUAUGCCCUUACAAUAAUACAUAUAACCCAGGAUGGAAAAACCAUUCUAACUUGAGUUUUGGGGAGAACCCGCGGUAUAACCAGCCAUACCAAACCUGGUUUCCACCAAAAAUGCAAGAUCCAGGUACCUCUCUAGAAGCCAUGAUAAAUAAAUUAGCAGCUAAUGUGCUUGAUUUCCAGUAGCAAACUGUUGAUUUUCAAAAGAAAAUUAAGGCAUCUAUAAAAGAGUUGACCAUGUCAAUUGAGAAAGUAAACUCACAGGGAAAGCUGCUGUCACAAACGGAACCUAACCUAAGACAAAACGCAAAUGCAAUGACAUUGCAAAGUGGAAAAAAACUGGAAUCGAAUCCUAGCAGGAAUUGUGAUCAAGAUUUUGCCCAGAAAAAGCAGGAGUACGAUGAACAUGUUCGAACGAAACUUCCAUUUCCCACAAUUCAACCUCCAUUUUCAAGACGGUUGAACCAACAUCGAAGAAGUGAGGAGGUAAAAGAGAUUCUCAAAAUAUUCAAAAACGUCGAGAUCAACAUACCAUUGUUGGAUGCCAUAAAACGUAAUUCCUAGAUAUGCCAAGUUUCUUAAAGAGCUUUGCACCAACAAGUGAAAAUUGAUUGGAAAUAAAACGGUAAGUGUUGGUGAAAAUGAAUUUGUAGUGUUACAGCAAAGGAUGCCAGUAAAAUGUAAAGAUAGGGGCAUGUUUGCAAUACCAUGCAAAAUAGGUCACUUAGGAAUUAAAAAAGCUAUAUGUGAUUUAGGGGUCUCUAUAAAUGUAAUGCCUUUUUUCAUUUAUAAACCACUUAACAUGGGUUUUGUUUUGAAAAAAAAGGUGUUAUCAUUCAAUUGGUGGAUAGAUCUAUUAUGCAACUCAAAGGAAUCAUUGAUGACGUAUUGUUGAAAGUCAACAGACGUAUCUUUCCCACAGACUUUUAUGUGGUGAAAAUAGAAGAGGAUAACGCUCUUGGGUCUUUAAACAUCUUGCUGGGGCUACCAUUCCUUAGUACCCCAAGUACUAAUAUUGACGUGCGUAGCGAAACCCUCACGAUGGAGUUUGAUAGGGAGAUCAUGAAGUUUAACGUUUAUGACGCUAUUAGUCACCUUAGUGAAAUUCUGAACGUAAAUCCUGUCGACAUAAUUGACUCCUUAGUAGAAGAAACUUUUGAGUCACUUUAUGAAAGUGAACUUAAAAUAUUAUUUGAUGCACCAAAUUUCCAAGCCCGUACGAUAAAAAAAAUUCAGUUGGGAUAGCCACAAUACUAGUUCGGUUGUCAAGCUAACGACGUUAAACAAAUGCUUGGCAACCUAAUUUUAUUUUCUUUAUUUUGUUGCAUGUUAAUAAAUUUUAUUCUCUCUUCUUAUGUCCUGGAGAAUCGAGGAAACAAAAAAUUAAAUUUGGAAACGAGCGAAAACAGUAACGAAAACGACAUGGGAAGUGUUCUAAAUCCUUUCUUUUUCAUCAUAUUUGUUAACAUUAUUUUUCACAUUGAGGGUAAUGUGUUUUAAGUAGGAGGGAGGUCUUCCUCAUUAUUUUUGCUGUUUUAUCUGCUAUUUUUUCUGCUGUGUUACUGUUGCUGUUGCCUUAUGCUUGUUUUUGCCCACAUUCAUUUAUUUUUAGUAUAUCCUGCCCCUUUUCAUGCCUAAGAUUUUGACUAGGAAUUACCCACUGUUUGACCCGCGAGCAUAUUUUUUGUCUACUAAGUUAGUUAUUAUUUCACUAUGCUGAUUUCAUCUCCACUAUUUUAUUUCUAUUAGGCUAAAAUAAUUAUGAUUAAUGAAGUUAACCCUGUCUUGCUUAUAGUAAAGUCGAUUGAGUCUAAAUGCAAAGAGGACACUGAAUACUAAUGUAUGCUAAAUUUAUUUUCAUGACUGUUAGGUAGUUGCCAAAACUUAUUUUUGACACUUGAUUGUUUUUCUUAGUUUUCUAGAUUUAAAAUUCUGUUUGAUUUUAAAAAUUAAAAUAGAAUAAAAUCUGAUGAUUUUUUGGUUAUGGGCACAACUUAAAACAUGACUGACUGAGUAACCAGGGUAGGGUACUUAGGUUGUCAUCUUACUUUCGCGUUAAAAGGCUGUGUGACGUGUUAGGUAAUUCUCCGCUAACCAGAAUUAUGGACAAAAAUAAAAAAUAAGUUAGGAGUGUGUUAGGUUGAGUAAUCGGGGUGGGGUGCUUGGAUUGUCAUUCCACUUCACAUCAAAAUGGCCAAUACAUUCUUAAGGAAAAGAAAAAAAAGAGAAUUAAAUUUGGGGACUAAGGGUGGAACAAAUAGGGUGUCUUGGUAAGUUUAGUAAAUUGCCUAACUUUCAUGAAAUAAUCCAAGUUAAUUUAAAUUUUUUGAAUAAAAAGUCGAUUUAAUUUUUGUGUGUUUAAGUUGGAGUACUUUUCGGUUUUACUUAAAGCAAGCUAAAGGUUCUCUUUAUUUUCAUAUGCAUUAUGCCUAAUUUUUAUAAAACUUUAGAGUGAUAGUUCUUUCAUGGUAAAAUCUAAAUUACAUAAUGGAAUAGGAACCAUAUUUGAGGGCAAGCAUGGGCAAAGUAGGGGAAUAUGAUAAUACUCUAAAAUGACAUACUUUUAUGAGUUAAUUACAUAUAUAUUUUGAGUACGAUUCUACUAAUUUGGGUUGUUUAUGGUUUUUUAUCUUGUAGGAACUAAAUUGAAGCCAAAAGGAAAUUUGGAGGCAAAAAACAUGAAUUUAAAGACAAAAUGGGUCAACAUGCGAAAUAGGGAAUAAGUGGUGCCGAAAAUACAAAGUGUGGAAGACUUGGGAAAAUUUUCAAAGAAAAAAAUCAUGGACAUAAAACUUUGUUUAAAUUUGAAUUAUAUUUUUAGGAUUAUUAUUAUAUUGUUUAGAUUUAAGUUCAAAUUAUAUCUCUUACAUUAUCAUCUAGAGUUUGAAUGGGAACUAACUAAGGUCUUUUAUGAACUAUAAAUAGGGGAUGGAGUGAUAUGAAUACUCACUGAUCAUUUCUGAAAAAAAAAACUCUUUCCCUCUAAGGCUUUUAGCCUUUUGUUUCUUUUCCUUUCUAAUAGAAUUUUGUUUCAUUAAA